CGGGUGACGAGCGGCGGACGGGUGAGUAAUGUCUGGGAAACUGCCUGAUGGAGGGGGAUAACUACUGGAAACGGUAGCUAAUACCGCAUAACGUCGCAAGACCAAAGUGGGGGACCUUCGGGCCUCAUGCCAUCAGAUGUGCCCAGAUGGGAUUAGCUAGUAGGUGGGGUAACGGCUCACCUAGGCGACGAUCCCUAGCUGGUCUGAGAGGAUGACCAGCCACACUGGAACUGAGACACGGUCCAGACUCCUACGGGAGGCAGCAGUGGGGAAUAUUGCACAAUGGGCGCAAGCCUGAUGCAGCCAUGCCGCGUGUAUGAAGAAGGCCUUCGGGUUGUAAAGUACUUUCAGCGGGGAGGAAGGCGAUAAGGUUAAUAACCUUGUCGAUUGACGUUACCCGCAGAAGAAGCACCGGCUAACUCCGUGCCAGCAGCCGCGGUAAUACGGAGGGUGCAAGCGUUAAUCGGAAUUACUGGGCGUAAAGCGCACGCAGGCGGUCUGUCAAGUCGGAUGUGAAAUCCCCGGGCUCAACCUGGGAACUGCAUUCGAAACUGGCAGGCUAGAGUCUUGUAGAGGGGGGUAGAAUUCCAGGUGUAGCGGUGAAAUGCGUAGAGAUCUGGAGGAAUACCGGUGGCGAAGGCGGCCCCCUGGACAAAGACUGACGCUCAGGUGCGAAAGCGUGGGGAGCAAACAGGAUUAGAUACCCUGGUAGUCCACGCCGUAAACGAUGUCGAUUUGGAGGUUGUGCCCUUGAGGCGUGGCUUCCGGAGCUAACGCGUUAAAUCGACCGCCUGGGGAGUACGGCCGCAAGGUUAAAACUCAAAUGAAUUGACGGGGGCCCGCACAAGCGGUGGAGCAUGUGGUUUAAUUCGAUGCAACGCGAAGAACCUUACCUGGUCUUGACAUCCACAGAACUUGCCAGAAAUGGCUUGGUGCCUUCGGGAACUGUGAAACAGGUGCUGCAUGGCUGUCGUCAGCUCGGGUUGGGAAAAGGUUGGGUUAAGUCCCGCAACGAGGGCAACCCUUAUCCUUUGUUGCCAGCGGGUCAGGCCGGGAACUCA
rnacentral:rRNA from 1 species